UUGAGGCCAACACCGUUUACUCGGUGUUGCACACCGGCAACAGCAAUUUUUUUUGUUUUUUUUUAGUAAUAAAAAACAAAUUCAGUAAAAAUGAAUAAUAUAAUUAUAAUUAAGAAAAAUAAAUGUGUAGAAUAGGCCACAGUUCUGCUCUGUGCGGGAGAACUGUCGCGCCGAGAAUUGACGUGCUUCCUUAAAGCCCAGUUCAGACCAAAGAUUCACCUUGCAACGGCUUGCAACGAGACGGUUUUAGAACGUCGCAGGGGCGGUGUGAACGGGUCAUUGCAAGGAGUUGCCAGAGAUUGAACAUGUCAAAUCGCAAGGUCCAGUUUUAGAACGCGGCGAUUUAACUAUUUCGCUUCAGCCAAUCACAGCACAGAACAACAUGUACGUCACGGCCUUACUCUGUCCCGGUACCGUACUGUCCACUCCAGCAUAAAAAUAUCCGAUUGAAAUAUCCGAUAUCCGGAGAAUGACAAAACACAAUAACUCUAGCCUACUCUCAAGCAAAAUAAAAAAAAUAAUAAUUGCAAACCUAACUAAUUGCAAACCUAACUAAUCUAACCUAACCUACGCAAAUGAUGCCGUUGCGGCUCUCAGCUGAGCCAGAACGUUCACAGUUGCUAUGGAAACCACCUAGCGUCGCAGCCCGUUGCAGCCAGUGUGAACGGCCCAGUUUUAGAACGUCGCAGCCCGUCUCGUCGCAAGGAGUCGCAAGGAGUUGCGAGUUGCAAGCCGUUGCAAGGUGAAUCUUUGGUCUGAACUGGGCUUUAAACAAGACCGGUAACCAUAGCAACGCCGGUAAACAAACACCGCGGAGCCCAAUCCCUACGUGAGCUCCCCGCGCUACGGCCAUCCGGAGGCGCACAGAGCUUUUGGCCAUGAUAUUAUGAUAUAUAAAAUUAUAUUAUCCUAUUAUAUAUUUAAGCAAUAGAUCACGCCAGGCUGUGGUAUGUGCUCAUUAUACCACUGUUAAGGGGCGUUGUCCGGCCCCGACGCGCAGCGGAGGGCCGGCGACCCCCUUCACAGUGGUAUAAUUAAGUCUGUUAAGAGACUGACACACAAAAAGUUUGAACGUUCAUUGGGGACCAAAAAAACGCCUAUAGAGGCAUUCUUAAGUUGGCUGUUUUUGCCAAUUCUACCAAAAUGCUUUACGGUGGAACGAGAUAUUGACACAAAAUGAAUGCAAGUUAAGGGAUGUGUCCUCAAUGUUCCUGGUACGCUUCAAGUUACAGCCUCCUUCUGCCGAGGACUUGCGAUGGAAAUGGAGAAUUAGCGUUUAGUUUAGCAUUCAUCAAUCACUGUGUGAUUGAGUGAAUAUUGCAAAAUGUUGAUGUCUGCUAGAGCUGCUGCCCCCGCGGUCCAACCCUGGAUAAGUAAGGAAAUUUGGGGGUCAUUUGAGAAUGCAAUGAGAUGAUGUAGAUGAUUUUAGAAGUGUUGCCAAGAAUCACACUGCAACCAAAUCUAUCCUGACAGACAUUAUGGGUCCAAAUGGCAAAAAAGUUUCAGAAUUUCUAAUCAAUCGGAAGCCAUGAAGAGUGUUUAACUAAGACCAGAAUUUAUAAUGCCCCCUAUGGUGAUUUGGGCACCAAGCUUUUUGGAGACCUAAGGUACUGGUAAUCAUGCAUGACUGAGAAAUUUGAUUACUUUUUUGGGCUGAUUUUUAAGCGUUUAAAUUAAAAUUAAUAAUGUCUAGUACAAAUACAAUAGGUAUCCAGAUACACUGUGAAUAUAUAUUUAAGUACUAGUGCUGACGUUUAUGAAUGCAAAGUAUUUUUGAUAUAUUUAUAUAUUCCUUGCUGUCCUUUUUUAACGAGCACAAUCAUAUGCAUAUGUAGGGCUUGUACAACGUACAAAGUACAACUCUCUACAAUGGUUAAGAGAAUCAUUAAUUUUUUAUUCAAGCGGUAGUCAUUAAUAAUUGUUAAUAAUUUUUUGGAAUAGUCUUUCGAAAUAUUAUGCCUACAUUUAUGGUAAGGUAGUGUGAGGCAAGGUUGAAAACAUUAAUAAUUAGCAAGUGUCAUAAGUUUUAAAGAGACAGAAAAUAAGAUCUAACCCCCCCCCCUCUAAAAAAACGA